rnacentral:rRNA from 1 species
UACGUAGGGCGCAAGCGUUGUCCGGAAUUAUUGGGCGUAAAGAGCUCGUAGGCGGUUUGUCGCGUCUGUCGUGAAAGCUUGGGGCUUAACCCCAAGUCUGCGGUGGAUACGGGCAGACUAGAGGCAGGUAGGGGAGAACGGAAUUCCCGGUGUAGCGGUGAAAUGCGCAGAUAUCGGGAGGAACACCGGUGGCGAUGGCGGUUCUCUGGGCCUGUACUGACGCUGAGGAGCGAAAGCGUGGGGAGCGAACAGG